UUUCUUGUCUAAUUUUCUGUUUCAAUCUAUCUGUAUCGAAUGUUUGAUUUACUAUUUUCAAUUUACUUGUGCAUGUUGAAUUGACAGAUGCCAUUUCCUGGUAUUGUUGAUGGUCUUGGUUCAUAACUGUUGCAAUGACGGCAGCUCUUUGGUGGUCCAAUGUCAAAGUUAAGAUUGUUAAUGAUCUGCCGCAUGGCUAAGCCUGAAGAGGUUCUGAUUAUUGAGGAUGAAAAUGGGAAUAUUGUCCGUGAAACUAUGAAGGACAAUGAUGUCCUCGUUCAAUAUAAGGUGUUAAAUCUAUACUUGGCAGAUGCUGAAGAAAUUGAAUAAACAACUGAGUGGCGAGCAUUGGACAUGGAACAACUUAAACACAUUAUGUUGGGCAAUAGGAUCUAUAUCUAGGUCCAUGAUGGAGGAGCAGGAAAACAGAUUUUUGGUGAUGGUGAUUCAUGAUUCGUGAUCUAUUAAAUUUGCGUGAAAUCACAAAAGGAAAAGACAACAAAGCAUUAUUGCAAGUAACAUUGUGUAAACAAAUUUUUGUGUUAAAGUUGCAUCUCCAAUUACAAACUUAUAUAUGUACAGUUUUGGAUGAUAUAUAACUUUUUGGAUAAUUUAGAACUUAAGGAUAGUCCUUUUGGAUGUCUUUGAACUUGCGGUUAGGUUUUGGAUGUUUGAAAUGUAUAUAUUGACAAUUUUUGAAUGUUAUAAUU